AGAGGGAAAGCACACCAGGUCUCUGUUUCCCAAGACAGGUCAAUUGUUCCCAGCAGGACUUCUGUGACAGCUGCUACUAUUUACAGGGGGGAACCGAAAGCGGCGAGAUCCCGAAGCCAGACAUACGUUCGCUAGUUGUUGAGGGAGCGGAUCCUGCAGGCAGGCCAACCAUGCACUCGAGAACAUCUUGUACCUCCUUGUGCUCCAGUCUCCUGGGGUCCACCAGACGCGUAGUAUUUUCCCCAGAUUGUUGCCUGCUGCUCUCACACUGUGUCCGCCUGGCACUUUAUUUGCAGAACAGAUGGAGCACUGAUCCAAGAGGUACUCUCUGUUCUUCUUAGUCGUUUUGAAGAAUUGGGCUUGGCUAGGGAAGGUUGAUGCCAAAUUAGUGGACAGUCUGUCACUGGUCUCAGAUUCCUCUCAGAGACAAAAGAGGCAUUCUGUAACAGAAAGCAAGAAGUCUGGAAAUCCCCUCAGCCAAGAGGUUGGAGAUGGGGGUGAGUGGUCUGGGAAAUUCCCCUUAGGUCAGGCAUUUCCAGUAUUUCCAAGCCUCUCCUCUCC
rnacentral:lncRNA from 1 species